rfam:Brachypodium distachyon strain Bd21 chromosome 3, whole genome shotgun sequence.
GAUCUACUCCCUCCAUUCCAUAAUUCUUGUCUCAAAUUUGCCCAAAAAUGGAUGUAUCCAUUCCUAAAAAGCGUCUAGAUGCAUGUGAUAUUUCGACAAGAAUUAUGGAAUGGAGGGAGUACUAU